rnacentral:rRNA from 1 species
UACGGAGGGGGCUAGCGUUGUUCGGAAUUACUGGGCGUAAAGCGCUCGUAGGCGGCUUUGUAAGUUAGAGGUGAAAGCCCGGGGCUCAACUCCGGAAUUGCCUUUAAGACUGCAUCGCUAGAAUUGUGGAGAGGUAAGUGGAAUUCCGAGUGUAGAGGUGAAAUUCGUAGAUAUUCGGAAGAACACCAGUGGCGAAGGCGACUUACUGGACCACAUCUGACGCUGAGGCGCGAAAGCUAGGGGAGCAAACAGG